UUUUAUUCUAAUAGGAAUAUACAAGGCAAUUCCGAAACUGAAUGGGUUUCCAAAAGGUCAAAAUUCGCAGUUGACUUUCUCCCCUGUUCCUGGGCUGUUUCAGCGGGCUUUUGAUAUCUGGACCCAUCUAGAAUGAUAGAAAAUUAAAUUAUCUUCGCGUGGGCUGUUGAAUCGCCCAAAUCCGACUUCUAGAACUCAAGAUAUGGCCCAAACAAUAUUCCGAAUGCGGGUAGCCCAAUAGUUGCGAAUUUUCUUCUAAUUUG
rnacentral:lncRNA from 1 species